rnacentral:tRNA from 1 species
CGCGGGGUGGAGCAGCCUGGUAGCUCGUCGGGCUCAUAACCCGAAGGUCGUCGGUUCAAAUCCGGCCCCCGCAACGUCGUCGGUUCAAAUCCGGCCCCCGCAACCA